rnacentral:misc_RNA from 1 species
CGCGUAUUGGGCAUGUCGUAAGUCUUGUUCUUUUGAUUUGGGUAUUUUUCUUUUUUACUUCUUUUGGUAAAUGCAUUGGCAUAUCGUUAGUUUUUCUAUUUAUUUCGUUUUUUUCUUCCCAAGGUUUCAUCUUUUUUUUGUGAGGUGAAUAUGCUGUUUGAAUUACGUUCAAGGGUUGUGGUUAUGAACUAGUAGAGGAUUUGGAUGAUAUAGAAAAUUGUAAGAGAUGAGUGGAAUUUGGUUUUUUGUAAUGCUAGCCUUUAGUUUUUUCAAAUCCCUUUGCCAAUACUAUGUGUUUUGGAUGUUUUAGCAUUGUUUAAAAGGUUUUUCCUUGCCAAUGAGCUUUAGCUCACUGUUACUGGAAUCCGGGUGUGAGAUCCAGCUGGUUGAAGCCAAAUGAACCCAAAAAAAAGGAAGGUUUUUCCAUGUUUUGAAGUUAGGCUUUGUUCCACUAUGACGCACCUGACUUUUGUAGGAUUUAGAACCUAACGUCCUAACCAUUAUUUCCAAUUGGUAGUUGAAGCCAUAUAUGUGACUGUAAGUUGAUGCUUGUUCUCAUAUUUAUUUUUCAUAUAUGGUUCUCUUUUGAAUAUUGAAAUAGCUUGCAUUCUAAAUUGAAUUUUAUAUUCAAAAUUGAAACUUCUUCAUUGAAUUCUUAUGUCUUUAGCGUAUGGUCUAUUCACUUGACAUGUCUACUGUACAUCUGGCAUCUAAUUAGUCUAAUUUAGUGGUAAUUCUAUUUAUUUUUUAAUUUUUAGUAACAUUCUAACUAAAAUUAAAAUAAUGUUUUGUGUUUAGUCUAAGUACAAUAAAUAAGCAACUUAUAAGAUUAAGUGAACUAUGGGGGCA